AUACUUUUCUCGGCCUUUUGGCUAAGAUCAAGUGUAGUAUCUGUUCUUAUCAGUUUAAUAUCUGGUACGUGGACUAUGUGUUCACUUUGAUAUAAACUUAUUUUUUGUGGGGAGGAUCUACUAGGGUCCUCAAGCGUUGCUUGGGCGUUGCACUAUUGCACAAGCUAAGGCGCACCCCCA
rnacentral:snRNA from 2 species